UGACCGCUGGCGGCGUGCCUAAUACAUGCAAGUCGAGCGAACAGACGAGGAGCUUGCUCCUCUGACGUUAGCGGCGGACGGGUGAGUAACACGUGGAUAACCUACCUAUAAGACUGGGAUAACUUCGGGAAACCGGAGCUAAUACCGGAUAAUAUAUUGAACCGCAUGGUUCAAUAGUGAAAGACGGUUUUGCUGUCACUUAUAGAUGGAUCCGCGCCGCAUUAGCUAGUUGGUAAGGUAACGGCUUACCAAGGCGACGAUGCGUAGCCGACCUGAGAGGGUGAUCGGCCACACUGGAACUGAGACACGGUCCAGACUCCUACGGGAGGCAGCAGUAGGGAAUCUUCCGCAAUGGGCGAAAGCCUGACGGAGCAACGCCGCGUGAGUGAUGAAGGUCUUCGGAUCGUAAAACUCUGUUAUUAGGGAAGAACAAAUGUGUAAGUAACUAUGCACGUCUUGACGGUACCUAAUCAGAAAGCCACGGCUAACUACGUG
rnacentral:rRNA from 1 species